GACGAACGCUGGCGGCGUGCUUAACACAUGCAAGUCGAACGGAAAGGCCCUGCUUGCAGGGUACUCGAGUGGCGAACGGGUGAGUAACACGUGGGUGAUCUGCCCUCCACUUCGGGAUAAACCUGGGGAACUGGGUCGAAUACCGGAUAUGACCUUUCAUGCUGUGUGGGGGGUGGAGAGAUUUAUCGGUGUGGGAUGAGCCCGCGGCCUAUCAGCUUGUUGGUGGGGUAGUGGCCUACCAAGGCGUCGACGGGUAGCCGGCCUGAGAGGGUGGACGGCCACAUUGGGACUGAGAUACGGCCCAGACUCCUACGGGAGGCAGCAGUGGGGAAUAUUGCACAAUGGGCGGAAGCCUGAUGCAGCGACGCCGCGUGGGGGAUGACGGCCUUCGGGUUGUAAACCUCUUUCGCCAGGGACGAAGCGUCGGUGACGGUACCUGUAUAAGAAGCACCGGCUAACUACGUG
rnacentral:rRNA from 1 species